AUUGAACGCUGGCGGCAGGCCUAACACAUGCAAGUCGAACGGUAACAGGAAGAAGCUUGCUUCUUUGCUGACGAGUGGCGGACGGGUGAGUAAUGUCUGGGAAACUGCCUGAUGGAGGGGGAUAACUACUGGAAACGGUAGCUAAUACCGCAUAACGUCGCAAGACCAAAGAGGGGGACCUUCGGGCCUCUUGCCAUCGGAUGUGCCCAGAUGGGAUUAGCUAGUAGGUGGGGUAACGGCUCACCUAGGCGACGAUCCCUAGCUGGUCUGAGAGGAUGACCAGCCACACUGGAACUGAGACACGGUCCAG
rnacentral:rRNA from 1 species